rnacentral:lncRNA from 1 species
GAAAACUACUGCUUCUCUUUCUACAAUCACAGAUGCUCAGUCCACCAUACCUGCUGCCCUGGGUACAACAAUGUCCACAGUGAUCACCCCUGAAACAACCACAGAUCUUACUUCCACCACUACCACUACCCCUGAUAUAUUGCAUCUGACUACCAGAACAGAUGCCACAGCUUCAUUCCCUGACACAACCCUGGUCACUGCAGAUGAUACAUCAACGUCUGACUCUAGCACAUCUGAUGACACUACAUUUGAUUAUCAACCUGACCCUACUGACUUCACCUCUGCUACUUCCUAUACAUCAUCUGCCACCACACAGCCCUCCACCUCCCAGGAUGUUCCCUUGGCCAUACCCACUGCUACUACAGCUGUUGCUACUGCUCUUCCUACAACCACCUCUACUACUAUCACAGCUCUUGUCACCACCCUGCCUGAUGCCUCAGAUACUUCCACUCCUUCUGGCACCAUUCAAGCUGCCACCUCCACAGCUGUGUUUCCAACCACAGCCACUCCUACCACUAUCUCUGGUGUCACUAGUCAGUCAGCUGCAUCUGACUCACUUAGAGCAGUAGCGUCCACAAGUAUCACCUCUGCUACCACUAAUAUGCUUGCCAUGACUACAGAGGCUCCUACCACAGCUUCUUCCACAGUCACUCCCUCCUCUGCUGCUUCUGUCACCAAAAAAGCUGCCGCAAACGUGUCUGCUCCUCUUAGCACCACACAGCUGGCCACAGCUACAACCCUCCUCCCCAUCUCAUCCACUAAAGCCAUCAGCACCUCCCUUGCCAACACAACCACUGCUGUUCUUGACACUUCCCCUCAGGCUGCUGCUAUCACUUCUCCAACCGCCACUCCUGCUCCUUCCACUCCAGCUGUCUCCACUCCUGCUGCCACCAGCACUUUAUCAGCUUCCUCCAUGUCUUCUUGGCCAGCUUCCAUCACAUCUCCUACCUUCAGUUCGUCAAUAUCCACUGCGACCACAGUUGAAAUCACUAUGAAUCCUAUUUCCACUACUUCAUCUGACUCCUCUGCUCUUCAAUCUACUCCCUUAGAAGAUACCACAACUUCUUAUACUAACACCGUACCAAGUACCCUGCUCACCACAGAUGAUAUGGCAACACUGAGCUCUGGCAUAUUUGAUGACACUACUACUGACUAUGAUCUUGACACUACCACUGCUGCCUCUGUCACCACUCUUCCUGCCACAACCUCUUCAGCUCCUUCUACCACCUCAGAGCCCAGCACCACCACUGAUGAUCACUCCAGCUCACCUGCUGCCACAACCAUUUCUUUUCCCUCUUCCACUGCACAGCCUGUUACUACUAGCUCUGCCAUCGCCACAGCUGCCACAGCCAUGUUUGCUCCUGCAACAACCACUGCAUCUCUGACCACAACAGUAGCUGAGGCCACUAAUAUUCUGGUUCCUUCCACCACACUUGGAGCACCUGCAGCAACAUUUACAAGUACCACAUCUGUGGCCACCAACAUUCCUUCCAUGACCACAAAGGGUGCCGCCACAGCUGCUUCCACUUUGAUUUCUACCACAACCACAUCUGCU